AGAGAAGUGCUCAAAUCACCACAGCUGGUACUGUUUAGAUGCCUUACUAGUAACCUCAUGGAAGCCAAGGCUAUGUCACACCUGAAAGAAAAGGCUGUGGGGAAAGAAAUAAUUCUGAGUCAGCUUAACAGUCUUCCUCCUGAAGAGAAGGUAGAAUAAGUGUGGCCUUCACAAAGUAGGCUGAAAUCACUUUCUGGAGUGUCCUGCAGAUGUGAUGACUUUAUGCUGAAGAACUGUUGAUGGUGUGACCAUGGGUCUGGAGUGGAGCUGUGCAGAGAUAUCUGCAGAUCUGGCAUUAUGUUGUAUUGAAUUGUGUUUUGGUGUGGAAGAUGAAGAGAAAAACAUCAACUUUCUGCCCUCUCAUAUUCACAAGGAGAUGCAAACUAAGCACUGUGGCAAGCAAAUCCUUCCAGGAUGAUCUGACAGAGCUGAAGAAGUUAUUGUUCAUCAGUACUGGAUCUUUCUUUAGCUACCACCUGCAACCUGAGCUGACAGAAGGGACCAGAUCCAGGGUUUUAUUUCCUUAACCUCAGUGUGGUGUUGUAGCACACAUCAUUUAUUUCAGAAUGCAUUUCCCCCUUCUAACAACUGGUGCUCUGUUUUGGAAGCAAAGGGAGUAACUCCACACAGAGCUAGCAGACUGCAGUUGCUCCAUUUGUAUUAAGUUAAGCUUGUGGUCCUGUUAUUCCCUCUUCACUCUCAAGAUGCACAUUAUAAAGUUAGACCAGGAAGAAAACAGCACUUCCCACUUCUGUUUAGCCAUCUCCUCAAAUCUUGUUGUAUGGACUGUUUCAAUAAGGAUCCCCAGGGGCCUCCUCCCUUCUAGUGCAGUCUGUGGAGUUAAACCAAUAUGUGCGUUGGAGCCAAGACUGUUAUGCUACUGUAAUUGUCAAAUUUGAAAUCAAUGCCUUUUUUCCCUCAUGAGCUCUUCUUUUCUCAAUAAACAAGAAUUUGGCUGCAAAAAAAAAAGGCUCUGCAUAGAGACCAUUUCAUAACAGUCUCUUAUGUGAAAUGAGGCUUUGAUUUUCCUAAAUGGGCCACUGAACUUUCCUCUCAGGAAAGCAAACCCUACAUUUAACCACAAGAAGAGGCAUUUCCAGUGCUCUUUCAUAUCAGCAUAGCAUCAGUUUUAAGUAAUUUAAUGUAACUUGCUGUGUUCUCCAAUGUGAUAGGAUUUGCACCAUUUUUUUUGUUAGACUGCGAUGUUUUCUGGGAUGAGUAGAACAAUUGUGUCAGGCUGAGGUCACUCAUACUAGAGAGAAUUGCUUGAAUUUAGCAGUAUAUGGCUGAAGGGGCAUUAAUCUUAAUCAUCUUCCAAUUGAUAGAAGGUGGUAUCAAUUCUUGGCACUUCCAUUCUUCCAUGAAAGUGGGAACAAAGCUAGGGACCAUUUUGGUUCUCCUUUUGUCUCUGUACUCUAACAGAGUGAAAUGGUCACCAGGGCUCUUUAAAAAUUUUGCUAUGCCUCUGAGAUAUUGAAAUCAUCUCUCUGCACAUAAUUCUAAACUGACACGCAGUUACUUGGCUCUGACUUCAUGUAUGGCCACAACACAAUCAUGUUAUGCCAUCUUAUGGCUGGAUGAGACCAGAUCAGUUCUUGUAUGCAUUGCUUUCCUUCUGGCUUUAGAGAUUAAUAAUAACGCAUGCAUUACAACUCAUCUCAGUGAAGUAAUUAUGUGUAAUUGCAUAAUUACCCGUUGCAGUUGUUUGACUUACUGGCAUUUGUACUAAUUAAACUAAUGGUAUGCAAAACUACAAAUUAAUUUAAAAUAAGAAAAGCACUGAGCACCGCCUCUUGAGGGUGUGUAUAUGCAGACAGUGGUACCAUGUUUGAACAGAAAUGUUGAUCCUACAUCUUUUAUUGAACAUAUCACAUAGUUUUCUUUUAUCAGGUAAAAGGAUACAGCAUUAAAUAAUAAACUAUGUAAUAAUCCUAAACAAAACAAGAUCUGAG
ensembl:lncRNA